GACGAACGCUGGCGGCGUGCUUAACACAUGCAAGUCGAACGGAAAGGCCCUGCUUUUGUGGGGUGCUCGAGUGGCGAACGGGUGAGUAACACGUGAGUAACCUGCCCUUGACUUUGGGAUAACUUCAGGAAACUGGGGCUAAUACCGGAUAGGAGCUCCUGCUGCAUGGUGGGGGUUGGAAAGUUUCGGCGGUUGGGGAUGGACUCGCGGCUUAUCAGCUUGUUGGUGGGGUAGUGGCUUACCAAGGCUUUGACGGGUAGCCGGCCUGAGAGGGUGACCGGCCACAUUGGGACUGAGAUACGGCCCAGACUCCUACGGUAGGCAGCAGUGGGGAAUAUUGCACAAUGAGCGGAAGCCUGAUGCAGCAACGCCGCGUGCGGGAUGACGGCCUUCGGGUUGUAAACCGCUUUCGCCUGUGACGAAGCGUGAGUGACGGUAAUGGGUAAAGAAGCACCGGCUAACUACGUG
rnacentral:rRNA from 1 species